ACUGGACACUUUCCAGGUAAACGCCGCGCGUAUCUCGACAAUGGUCCAUGAAUCAACUGCGAUAGGUACGUUAGGUGGCCGCUCGAGUAAACGAGUCGCGAUCUCUACGAUUGGCGCCACCUGUCGUCGGUUGCCCACAUUCGCGAACAGGAUUGCCAAUAUUUUUUUGGCUUGUCAACCUGUCAAACUGUCAAACUGUCAAACGACACGAAUGAAGUCAGCAAAUUAUUAUUGACGACCAAUAACCAAUCAUCGUGGAAAAGAGGCAACAAUGUCAAUAACAUGUCUUUUUUAGAGAAGGAUGUUAUCUAAACGUCGAGAAAAACAUAUAAAAACGAAU